rnacentral:rRNA from 1 species
GACAGAGGGUGCAACCGUUGUUCGGAAUUACUGGGCGUAAAGCGCGUGUAGGCGGCUCGGCAAGUCGGAUGUGAAAGCCCUGGGCUUAACCUAGGAAGUGCAUUCGAAACUCCCGAGCUUGAGUUCUGGAGAGGAAGGCGGAAUUCUCGGUGUAGAGGUGAAAUUCGUAGAUAUCGAGAGGAACACCGGUGGCGAAGGCGGCCUUCUGGACAGUGACUGACGCUGAGACGCGAAAGCGUGGGGAGCAAACAGG